AACGAACGCUGGCGGCAUGCCUAACACAUGCAAGUCGAACGAGACCUUCGGGUCUAGUGGCGCACGGGUGCGUAACGCGUGGGAACCUGCCCUUAGGUUCGGAAUAACUCCCCGAAAGGGGUGCUAAUACCGGAUAAUGUCUUCGGACCAAAGAUUUAUCGCCUUUGGAUGGGCCCGCGUUGGAUUAGCUAGUUGGUAGGGUAAAAGCCUACCAAGGCGACGAUCCAGAGCUGGUCUGAGAGGAGGAUCAGCCACACUGGGACUGAGACCAGGCCCAGACUCCUGCGGGAGGCAGCAGUGGGGAAUAUUGGACAAUGGGCGAAAGCCUGAUCCAGCAAUGCCGCGUGAGUGAUGAAGGCCUUAGGGUCGUAAAGCUCUUUUACCCGGGAUGAUAAGGACAGUACCGGGAGAAUAAGCUCCGGCUAAUUCCGU
rnacentral:rRNA from 1 species